ACUUCCUUGAUGAAAAUUGUAGAUCUUUGAAAUAGCUUUCCAAUGGUAUCUUACGGGGGUCAAACGGACAUCUGUGCAAAAAGUUAUGCCCAUUUUACUGAAGCAUGUUCGCUGGAAAUUCUGCCUGGCGUAACGGUGACGUUACGGACCGUAACUCGUGUUACGGGCCGUAACAGUGGACCGUAACGUCCCAAAAAUUUCCAGAAGCUCACUGGAAAUUUUCACCAAGGUACGGUACAAAGUUACGGUCCGUACCUUGUGUUACGGGACCGUAACAGUGACCGUAUCUUGGUCCGUAUAUACGUUUCGGGUCACCUGACUUCGGGAGGCCAUAACCCUAUCAUAAAUUGGGAAUUUGGGAAAACUCAAAGAACAAAAGUUGUAGAUAAUUGAAAUAUCUUUCCAACCAUAGGUCGUGGGAUCAUAGGUGACAUCGGGAUAGGGAGAUAUGGACGUUUUAAGACAGAAAGGUCCCAACCCGAUUUCAAGUUGGGUCAAACCCAUUUCCCCUUGGUAUUUAAGGGAAAUGUUAACCCUAGCAGCCCCAUUUCCUCCAUAUUUUCAGAUUUUAGAGAGAGAAAGGGAGAGAGAGGAGAAUUAGAGAGAGAAAGUAGAGAAUCAACCAAGUUGAAGGCCCCGAAUCCCAAGGCUCGUGAAGGAUAAAGUGUAGUACAAGUUCUUGCCGUCGUUCUAAGCUACAAAUCAAACUUGGGGUGUUGAUUUCGUGGUGGAUGCUCAUAAAAGAUCAAAGUUGAAAAGGUUGACGAACAUUGUAUUACGCUCAAAGGCUGGAAUUAAGGCAACGAUAUACAGGUUGACGACUCAGCUAUUUAGGAGUGCACGUAUCAGCUAUUGGUGAGCCCCAAAUUCCUUCGGGGCGUUGUCAUCUAUCUAGCUAUUUCAGUUUAUAGACAGCUUAAUUAUUAAGUACUCUUAGAGGCUUCAUAGACACAGUUCAGACGGUCAGAUAUGUAUUAUGUUAGCCUUGUUGGCAGUUGUUCAGUCGUUUUGGUUUAGCCAGGUUAGCUACUUUCAGAUGUAUUUCAGAUUGUCUAAGUAUUUCCGCAUUAUGAUUUCAGUCAGACCUUUAGUAUAUCGGCAUGUGUUUAGUUGUUUCCACAUUCAGUUAUGUGUUGAUAUCACAUGUUGAUUCAGUCAGCCAGAUGGUUCGCUCGGUCACAUGCAGUCAGGCACCGGGUGCCGUGUUACGUCCAGGCCCAGGUUCGGGGCGUGAC